AUACGUAGGGUGCAAGCGUUAAUCGGAAUUACUGGGCGUAAAGCGUGCGCAGGCGGUUUUGUAAGACAGGCGUGAAAUCCCCGGGCUCAACCUGGGAAUUGCGCUUGUGACUGCAAGGCUGGAGUGCGGCAGAGGGGGAUGGAAUUCCGCGUGUAGCAGUGAAAUGCGUAGAUAUGCGGAGGAACACCGAUGGCGAAGGCAAUCCCCUGGGCCUGCACUGACGCUCAUGCACGAAAGCGUGGGGAGCAAACAGGAUUAGAUACCCUGGUAGUCCACGCCCUAAACGAUGUCAACUGGUUGUUGGGUCUCUUCUGACUCAGUAACGAAGCUAACGCGUGAAGUUGACCGCCUGGGGAGUACGGCCGCAAGGUUGAA
rnacentral:rRNA from 1 species